AUAAUGAAUAAGUGAAUGAAUGAAUGAAUGAAUAAAUCAAGGAAGAGAGAAACAGCAGAAUACCAGCAAGUACGAGUAAGCAAACCCUAAUGUGCCAAAGCCACGGUGUCAAAACUAGCAUGCAAGGACUAGUUAAAAGGAACGACAUUGAAUAAGAGAACUGAAUUGCAACUGAAAAGGAAAAGAAAAGAAAGGAAACAAGAAACAGCCCACCAUCAUGGAAGAGCAACAUUAUGACCAGAGAGAGACGUCAUGAAUAAAUUGAAUUAAAGAAUAUCAAAAGAACAUCAAAAUGUCCAAUGAAUAUCAAGAAUGCACAGGCAAAUCAAGAACCAAAUCAAGAAGCGAUAAUGAAAUAAAAUGAAUAUCAAUAACAGCGAUAACGUGUCAUAAUAAACUAGAAUAUAUAAAUAUAAAUAUACUAAAAUAUAAAAUAUAGAAUAAAGAAUAACCGUAUGGAAACAAAUCAUAAAUAUAUUAAUACAAUCUACAGAACUUUGUACCAUCAUGAGUUAAAAUAAACUAAAUCAUAACAAUUGCUUUAAUUCAAUUCAAUUCAGAAUGGAUGAACAGUGACAGAAUGAAAGAAUGAACAACUGAACAAUGAAGUAAUCAAUUAAAGAUACUAAAGAAUGAGUU